rnacentral:lncRNA from 12 species
CAGCCCCGGUGGACGGCGGCUCACCCCGCGGAAGCUGAAACGAGCCAUUGGACCUGAGCAGGGAAGGUCCGGAGGAACUUGCGCCGUGACUGCAUACCCUUCGGGCACCCCUGAGGACCCAUGUCGAAGGUUGACCUGAGGGUCUCAGAUGCUGAGGACAGCCCCAGGAAACGGACCUUUGGGUGCCUGGUGCCUUGGGUUCCACCAAGAGGGAAUAGGGAGACCCGGAGGAGGCCUCUCCACAGCGGACACUGCCCCUCCCUCUCGGGCCCUCACAUUGUCCUCUGAGCUCGAGCUCAGAGAACUGUCUCUGCAACGUUUGCCUGGAAUGUUCCCUCCCCUCUGGUCCAGGAAGGACACUGGUGUGUGGUCUGUGAGAUGCAGGCCCAGGAGCCUUGCUCCACUGCUGACCGAUCCUGUGUGACCCCCCGGCGGGGCCACCUCCCUCUGCGACGGGGCUUCUAACCACCAGCUCUGCAGUGAGGAGCGUGCAGGCCCGCCUCAGCUGCCACGCUGGCCAGUGGCCACCCCUGCUCGGCAGGUGCUGCCUGGCCUGCGGCAUUGAGCCCCUCCAUCCCUAAGGUGCCCGCAGCUGGAGGGGGAACACCUACCCCGGUGCAGCCGGCUGAGAGUUCAACGGGAAGAUGCAAGUAAAGCACCUGGAGGGGUAGAGGCCCACGAUGUGAGGGCCAAAGCGUGAGCCCUCGUUCUGCGUCCCUGGCCCCCUUGCACCCACAGUGUAGGAGCGAGAACGAAAGAGUGAAUGCCACCCUGGAAGCAGUGGACACCCAAAAGAGUACUCAAGACCAUGUGCUUGAGCCCUGCGGCUGCUGGGGUACAGGAGGCAGGAGCAGAAGCUACCAGACAUGGUCAGCCUGACCUACCAAGAGGAAGAACCUUCUGGGUCUUCACUGUGCAGAGCCCCGGAGAUGGGCCCAAUGGGGUCUGGACUCAGUCCCACCCCUCGCAACUGCCAUCACAACCCUGGAGACAUACAAGAGAUGGCCUGUGGAGAAGUUCCAGGGACUGGUAUUUCAGGUUUGACAAGGAUGUGAAAAAUCACAGCCCGUAG